CACAUGCCUUUUCUUUCCGCGAAUUCAGGCGCCUAAUUAUAACACAUUCUUGCCUUGCUUCUUGGCUUGCAUAAACAGUGGAGGCGUUCAAUACUUACUGCUUCCUGGCCAAGCGUGUCCUGAUCAAGUUUUUAACUGUGUAAUGACCAAGAGCUCGAGGAACGUUCCUGCCAUUCGGCUGCAGACAAGAUAGAACCCUAGUCGCUGGAACUUGCGCUAGUCUGGAACGGGCAGGCCUGGAACUGGGCGUCAACCGACCCGAUUGGUUUUGCCGCUGUCAACAAACGCCGCAGCAAGUUCAUUUUCCGGUAGCUUACUCGAUUCACCUUCCACCUCAGGGAUGCCGUCGACAAUCAAAUUUCACCUCCCGAGCGAUUUUUCCCUAGUGCUCGAUUCUUUUUCCAAGUGUUCAUCAUACGCCAUUCGCACAAAUCAGGAUUUCGCAAGCAUCAGUGAUCUUUUCUUAGUCAUCAUUAACGAGUGUAAUUUAGUUUCUAUAUCAACCUGUAGCUUGUCCUUCAUAUCGGCAAGUCUCCUAAUGUUCCUUCGCAAUCUGCUUACCUUCUGGUCCUGGGACGGUUUCAAUGUCUCCUCCUGGCGUAAGCUUUUUAAUACACGGUCGUGUCGAUCACAAAGGUGUCCGGGGCCACGCCAGAAGUAGGAAAAACAACCAUCAUGCUGGCAGCGCUGCGACGCCCCGUGACAAUGGUGUUGCCGGUGCGGCCUUUUACAGUUCAGAGGGGUGGUUGCAUCGUCGCGAUAUGUGCAGAGUGGUACACAACUGUAGCUAUUCGUAGUCGCACCGGUUAAUCCGACGAAAGAUGUGGCAGGAAGCAGCUCGUGGCGUUGUGCUCUUGCACAGACCAAGUCUCGUCGAACCGCUCCGCCUUGUCCCACGCACGCAGGUUAAACCCACGCGAACAUUAGCUGCAGAAUGUCUGUGAACGGUUUAAUUGCCACCCGAGGGCUGGUGACGCUGCCAUGUCCAUGCCUUGUUUUUUUUUUUUUUUUUUUCAGAAUCUCUACCUCUGCUUACGAUUGCGGCCCACGUGUAGAAAAGAUAUCCCGUGCUCUGCUCGACGGUUGCUAUCCUCCCAACGUCCCCCUCGGGAGAUGGCCUAGAGCACCACUCCUACCGCGACCGACCGUGACCCCUUGGUCUUGCUGGCAGACGACGUUGCGCAUCGCCCUGCGCUACUACGGAUGCCGACGUGUGCUUUCGAUUGCGGCCCUCAAGAGUUGGAAGAUGAUCCAGUGUCUUCGCAUCAAUCGCAUUCCCUCGCCGGUGAAGUCUUGCUGGUGGACUGGACUUUGUUCCUCGCCCGGCACUACUUCUGGCAAGUACCAUGAACCCUAGAAACGUAGUAUGACUGUGUUCUCGAGUGUUUAACAAGCCUUGCGUGAUUGCAGGUUCCUACAGUCUGCUUUCCGUUGCGGCUAUUCACAAGCAUAUCCAGCGGGCGCUUCUGCACAUCUAGUCUCCAGCCUACGGUACAGAGCUUAACCUCAUCUCUACUCGUCCUAUGGCCGGCUGUUUUACGUCUGCAUUUUUCUCGCCGGUGGCUUCCAACUGGCAGACGGAGAUUCGUUCAUCUCGCUGCCCUACUUCUGACAAGUACCAUAUACUCUCCAAUGGUACUACGGAUGUUUUCUCGUGCGGUGUCCAAGCCCUGUGGCGUUUGAGGUUCCGAACGUCUCUUUUGAAUGAAGCUUUGUUGUGAGAUGGAGCUUUUCCAAUGGCGGCUGUUCCUUUUCUUUCAGUGCUCUUUUCCUUAAUCAUGUUCCUACAUGUUCCCGGUGCGGCAAGCAUACAAACUUUGUGGGCUUCCGGCGAAAUUUGCUGUCGAAUGUAUAAACUCUGCCGGUCCUCGACGUUUGGUUCAUGCUACGGAAAACUUCCUUCGUCACGCCGAUUUUACAAUAGGCUCUUGAAUGUCACUCUCCAUGUAAGACGACGUCGGACUUCAGUUCCUGGUGAUAUUAGGUGACAUCAUUUCCUGACGCAUCAUUUAUUUCGUCUACUCUCAGUGGCAUAUUUUACAGUGCUUUUGUAACUUCACAUGGUCUCUCCUUUAUCGAAGGUUGCCGUCCUAUUCUUCAAUGUCUCCUCCCAGGCUUCUGUUUCCGCCCGUAGGGUCUGCAAGAGCUAAAGGAAUGGGUUCUCUAAGUCCAUCGUGAACUUGCGUUAACAGUUGGUUAUUCUUGACACACUUCGUAUAUUAAGGUAUCUAAUUCUCCAUUGUGCAGUACAUGUCGGCCAAUCGUAUUUCGCAGAUGACUUGAAAAGUACGGACGGGCCUUUAUAAGAAGCCGCCCCCUUACUGUGCUUCAGUAGGUAAUUCCACUUGGUGAUUGGUCACGAACUCUUCAGUUGUUUGGCGACGUAAUGUUGUGACAACAUUCAAUUCCUUAGUUUUCCGGUGUCUUGCGUUGUCGCUGAUCAUUUAUUUUCGAGCUGGGAAGCACCGGAAAGAGUGUAGAAACAGAGCUGAAGAGUCUCCACCAGUUUCGCAGUGUACACCUCUUGUCACGGCGCAUGUGAAAGCUGUUACGCAAUAUGGCAAUGUCUCCUUUCUUUUCUAGUUCGUCCCUGAGCACCAUUGAAACAUAGCCAAACAAUUUCAAACAAUGUGAUAUUCUUUAGUCCAUCGUCAAGAGGAGGUACUUCCUCUUACAAGGUCCUGUAACAUUAUCUUCGCCACACAACGCACUGUCGUAUUACUUAUUUUCGUCCCCUUUGCCCGAAAUCUCGUCGUUAUACGAGUGGGUGUUCCACGUACUCCGUCGUGCAGUUUGCCCAUAUACGUGUCGCACUAACAGUAAAGAUUUCUUCCUUCUAUAUGUGAUCGGUUGCUGCUCGUCUUGUCGUAUAGGCUCUGCCAAAGGUGCCCGUGAAGUGACAUUUGGCAUUUGUUUCUUCUGCUUUUAGUGGACCAUUGAACUUGUCUGCUAAUAUUAUUCACGGAACGAAACAUUCACGCAUUUACCUUCCCAAUAUUCAAGUAAAUCCUGAACCUGUCAACUUCAAUUCCUCGUCUUGAGCUCCUUUUCGACGUGUAUCUAACACGUGAUUCAUCUCCUUCUGUCCUUCCAUUAUCCGGCAUUUUGUAACUGCUAUUCCUUGGUCGGCAUCAACUCGCAUCCCUUCCACAAAAUUAUUCACUACGAAAUCUUUUCUACGGUGCCUCCUGGUUAUAUCUGGUAGAUUUUUCACUACCGAUGACGUGUCCCCAUAGUUCUCCUACUGAGCAAUCCUUGAUUUUUUGUCUGUUCAACUUGUGCUUCAAGCAUUUUCUUUCUCCCAUGCAGCAUGAUUGUACGAGUGGUCCAGUACUUUACUGAUGCUCACAAGUUCUACUUUUGCUAGAAUGACGACGGUAUGCAUUAGAGCUGUUUUUUGUCAGGAUCAGCACUGUCUCCGCUCUGAUAUGACAGUAUUAUGAAUGCUGCACUUGAAUACACCGCCGAGCUUGCAUCCGAUAAAGUGUGUUGCUGUUCCGUUUCAUAUUGUCGAUUUAUUCUGAUUUUCCUGGAUGCAUUCCUCCAUAGAUCAUUUAUCCUCGUCUGGAAGACGGUUGUCCCAACAUAUUUCGAUUAUUCCUCGUUAUUGCAUACCGAUAGCAGAAUACCGUCGGCCGUGACCCAUUUUACUCCUAGAACUCUAGUCUCGCUUGAUCACGUAGGAACGGCGUCUUGAUGCGCAUUAAAAUUCUCAUCACUGGUUGAUGUCUUUCCUAAGAUUCAUUGAAGCUUGGCGAUUUUUUUUGUUCUUGAUUCCUUGUUCAUGCAUUUUCCCUGGUUUUCUUAUGAUGUUCCAAGCAUAACUUCAUCAGUGCAAACCGAAUUACAUUUACUGUCAUUGCAAGCGUUCCUUCGAAAAUUCAUUAUUAUUGUUAGUACACCUGCACUCAAAUCUCCUCCUGCCUUCACCUACACGACGAUCACUACAGUGUUGUUUUUUCAGCUACUUUGCUUUUUCUCGCUGCUGUCUUCUCCGUCUUUCAUUUGCCCUUGCACUUCUCCCAGGGCAGGGAAGCAAACCGGUAUCUCAUCCAGUUUCUCUCCCCUCCUGCCUGAAGGUUAUCAUUCAAAACAUUCUUAAUCCUGACCACGAGGCGUCAAAUACUAGGCUUGCUUUUCUUGUUGGUCUUCUGGCAUUUGCUUGAUGCGACAUAGUAUUUAACAUUGAUCCUUCCGAUCGCGGUCUUUAUGCCAUUUCAAGCGUGAAACCUCUCGCAUUGAACAGCUGUACUUUUCUCUCGGUACUGAAUUUGUCUUCAGCUUUCGGGAUAGUAUUCCAGUUGCUACUACAUUGGUUUCCACGUUCACUUGCUCUCUAUCCUUCUGAACAGUCCUUGUGCAGGAUGUAACUGCAUGGUUCAAUUCAUGUAUCGUUUCUUUCUCAGGAAUUCGGGCAUUAUUGGCCAUAUUCAACUUUUUCUUAGCGUAAUUUUCGUCAGUUCUUCUGUCGUCAAAAACCAUAGUGGAUUUGAGUUUCAAAUUUCUUAUUCUAGACCACAUUUGUAAGGAAAAAUCCAUUCGAGAAUGCUUUCCAUUUUCCAUUCUAUCUUCGUUUCGUCUACGGUCUGCGCUCCAAAACAUUACUUCGGGCACGAGCAUCACCUGCGGCAGGAGCGACUGCAAUUCUACAUUCUCCAGUGGCGUCCUGCUGGUAGACUGGACUUGUCUCCUCGCCCUGCACCACUUCUGGCUCAGCACUCCUGCUUUCUAUUGCGGUCCACGAGGGUACCCAGCGCGCUCCUGCACGACUCUACGGUCUGCGCUCCAAAAGAUUUCUUCGGGCACGAGCAUCCCCUGUGACAGGAGUGACUGCUAGUCUACAUUCUCUUGCCAGUGGCGUCCUGCUGGCAGACUGGACUUAGCCUGGCGCGCUUGCACUUAAUUCUGGUUCCCAGUGUUUGCUGUCGCUUGUGGCGGGAGGGAAAUGUUACAGCACGAUCAUUCGCAAGACUCCUGGCCUUACCUCAAGAGCGACUAUCUUCAGCCCGAUCGUCCUGCCCCAGAAUCCAUACAGCACGCUUCCUCAUACUCGUGAAGGCGUCGCACGCCUGUCUUGGCGGUGUCCUGCACUGUGCUAACGACGUGUUCAUGUUCUCAAGGACUGCGUCUCGUCGCCGUCCCGCGACCGUCCAUCGGAUGUGCUCCUACAGUUCUUCGAUGUUGCCUUUUUCCGCAGGCAUAUGUAACAGAUUUAGUGUGGCAAGCUUUUCUGCUUUGGAAGAGUGGUACGCUGCUCAGCGAAUAGAUGGUGCUUCUAGGAAUCGGGUUAAUACGAAGCAGAGCAGUAAAAAGGUCUGGUUACAUGGACACCACUCAGUCAGUAAUAAGGAUUGUCGAUGUAUUAAUGAGCCGAUCUGCAAAUUUUUGGUGGCGAGAGUAAUGGACAUUCAUUCACAUUGUGCACUUUCGUAGUGUGUGUGUGUGUGUGUGUGUGUGUGUGUGUGUGUGUGUGUGUGUGUGUGUGUGUGUGUGCGCGCGCGCACACACACGCACGAUCAUUCGUCGAUCAGUCGCCUUACUCCUGUGUUCCUUUUGUUCGGUCGAGAACGUAUGACAUGAGCUCCACUGGUAUACUCGGUGCACUUCGAAUUUUUUAUAUUUCGGUAGCCUUUCCAGCGUCCCAGUUGGUGCUUCAUUUUUGCUCUUUCAUUCCUGUUGAAAAGUUCCUGGUUUCAUGGUUUACUAUCGUCUAUGGACAUCCGCUUGGUUGACACGCUCGUUUCUUUGGCUUUGGUCCUCGGGUUGGCCUCGGUGCUCAUUUCCGCAUUCAGCGGAUUUGUUCAGGCGUCUUUCUCGUGCCAGAAACGGUCUUCACACAUUCUCGGUUCUUCCACGUCGCUCGUCACGGACUAGAAAAGAUGAACAUACCACUACAAAAGGACACAAUGCCAAUGAAUGGGAAAGGGGAGGGUGGUUAUUCUCGCCAACAAAAAUUUCCUGAUUUGCUCAUGAUAAUGACGUGCAUCUUUAAGACUGGUUGCUGGGAAAUGUCACCGGGUUCGCUGUUUCUUGUUUUUUUGGUGAUAACUAAUUAAAUUCUUUCAUGAAUCUACAUGGUCCAACUUAUGUAUUGCCUGCCGUUUGUUUAUCGGACAGUGCUACCCGCUGUCGUCGCUUGUUCACCGCGUAUACUGCGCCGUUGUUUGAUAUAUUUGUGUGCACAACUAUCGCGUACCCUGCAAGGUCGGUAGGAAUACUGAAGCGUCAUGGUACCCUUGACGCAGCUGUGACGUCGCUGCCCGCUGACUGUAGUUACGCACAGUUGUCCAAUUUCGUGAUUAAAGCACACCGCGUGAGCCAUUGUCAAACAGCUGCUUCGAAGGGGCUACAUGUACUCCCCCGACGCCAUGUGUAGACAUGUAUAGGCAACUGUGCUAUCUAAAUCCCGGUAUGUAUUUGAUAUGUAUUCCUGUACAAAUGCAUAAAUGUAUGUUUGUAUGUUAAUGCACUAUAUGCUGCUGCUUGCAACAUCUUGAAAUCGUCAGCUAGCAUUGAAUCGCUUUUAUUUCGUUUACUGAAGUCGUGUUUUGCGCUGUUUGUGCUGAGCAUGCAUUGCAAUAAACUGCACGUUGCCCCCAAAUAUUCUGUCAAAAUAAAACUUCUUAUUCCUGUU